rnacentral:tRNA from 1 species
CAUUAGAUGACUGAAAAAGUUUUGGUCUCUUAAACCAACUUAUAGUAGUAAAACCUACUUCUAAUGA